UUUUUUUUGUGUCCUCCAACAUAGUCAGUCCUCUUUCUCUGCAUGAGUUACUUGUUUUAAGAUAAAUUCCUCGAAAGCCAGAGUUGUCCUUGCUGAAGCCGAAUCGAGUCGUGUAAUGAGACGGUGGAGCUGGUGGCGAAGCAAGAAGAGAAGAAAAUAACAUUUGAAAAGCAAUUAUGAUACAACAAACAUGCACUCAACAAACAAAAAGAUUUGCCCAAAAUAUGGAAGGAAACACAACAUUUAACAGUAAAAAUUUCAAUUUGUUUCAUAUUUUUUAUACGAUGCAACUAUGUCAAAAACCUUUUGGAUACAAAAUAUGUUUUCUCCUCUCAAUAGGAUUUUUUCUCAGUUGCAAGAGCAACAAAUCAAACCCCAAACUACUUGCUUAAAGUGUUCGAACCUUCUGAAUCCCUUCAUAUAGAUAUUAAUAAUUAUUUUUCAAAUGUUCCAUUCCACAAGUCCAAGUACAUAGUCAAUUUGCUACAAAAAGCACAAACUUUGUAUAGCACAGAUUAGUAAACGCAACAAUAUUUAUGACUAGCCUCAGUAUUUUUAAUCACUGACCACCUUGUUAUGAAUGAAAUGCAAAAGAUAUUUUAUUGUAAAAUGAAAAGGCACAAAUUUGAUGAAAACCUAUCAGAUACUUUUCAUUUAUUAAAAGCAACCAACCAAAGUCGAUCAAAAUAAUUAGUAUUGCCUAUCAAUCUGUUAAGAAUAUUGCUCAACUCCAGAAACUCCAUUGGCCUAUUGACAUGCCUUACAUACAAGAAGAAUCGUGGACAGCAUAACAUCAUUUGGAUAUAUGAAUUAUAUCCAUACAUUAAACAAAUCGACCUGUACAACACAAAGAGAUACUUGUAUGUGUUCUUUACAGAGUAACUUCAGCCUCUACUUUUGUUUUGUUGAAAUCACAGAUUAGUGUACGGCUCCAUAAUCUUUUUGAGGGUGCAGAGAUUAUCAACGGUGGAGAGCCUGCUAUAAAGGUAGUGGAAAUGUGUUUCAGCUAACCAUGGAACAGUUUCCAGAAUGUUAAACAGGUAAAGUCUUUAUAGCUAGGGUAUAACAAAGUGUUUCAAUUUCUGCUGCAUGAAGCCAAACCCGAAAGAAUCUGGAAGCACAAUAACUUUCGAUCUAUAAAAUGGAAAAGGGGCAAAAACUUAUUUCUUAUUGCACUGCACGGCAUAAGCCAACUUUAUGGAUGCUUCUGAUAAAUUGGUGCAUGCAACAAAAUGAAAAUAAUGCAACUAACCUCCGAACAACCAAGAAGCAGCUUAUGCUUUGCUAGAUUUUGCCCAAAAGAAGCCCUUCUUUUUUGUAGGGUGACUAUCUAACAUGGAUCUGGAACCUUUCGAUCCAAAUGAAAAGUGUCGUUUCAGAAAAGGUUUUCCAAAGGAGAUCCUCCCACGAGAACUGG
rnacentral:lncRNA from 1 species